rnacentral:lncRNA from 1 species
CUUCGCCGCUCCCGGAAGGGAUGGUAUGGGAGAAGCAGCGCCGGAGAAGAUGGAAGGAAUGAAGCGGCGGCCUCGGUGACGAGGUGGUGGCGGCGGCGGCUGGUGCGUCGGCGGCCGUGGUGGCCGUGGUAUCGAGGUGGUCGUGGAGUCGUCGGAGCCGGCGAUGUGGCGGCGGCGGCGGGGGCUUUGGCGGCUGCAGCGGUGAGGGCACGACGCCGUGUUUUCAUGAGCUCAAUUAUUGCUUGGUCUCUAGCUCCUGUGAAUUGUGAAUUUAUGCGUGGUGUUCGUGUAAAAGGCAUCUUUAAGCUAGCUUCUUGUCUUCAGAAUGUCUCCUCGACGUGCACCAACGCCCGGAGGUUGGCGUUGCGGGAGACCACCCACAUGGCCCGAGCGGGCCCGUCCACGGUGGUGCUUGACGCAGAGCACCACGGCGGCGGGGACGACGAGGCCGCGGAGGAGGAGCAGGAGCGGCGGCGCCCGGCCCGCGAUGGCGUGCACGGCGUCGAUGCGCCCCAAUCCAGCGUCGACGCGACGGAAGAGCAUGUGCACAUCGAGGAUAUGCGACAGCGCGCCGCCGCGCGGUGCCUCAUCCGUUGCCUCGCCCGCCGGCGCGACUCCGGGGAGCGGGCGCAGCCGCAGCAGCCCAAGCCGGCGUCCGACGACGGCGCCAACACCGGUCAAGGGCGGUCGGCGCUGCAUCUGCCUGUCAGAGCUGAGGCGGACGGCGCCAUCUGCCUGUCGGAGCUGGCGGACGGCGGCGAGCGCGUCCACGUGCUCCCGGCGUGCGGGCACAGCUCCCGCCGGCGACGAGGAGACGAUGAGCUACCAGAAAGGUACUUGCAGCCGUACCCGCUGCCGCCGUCGUCGACUCGCAGGGAGUCACACGUCGGGCCGAACACCAUCGAGGCGUGCGUCGUCGUCGUGUCCUCGCCGGCGGCGAGCGGCCUCGGGCGCAGCACGUAG